rnacentral:rRNA from 1 species
UAGGGAAUCUUCCGCAAUGGGCGAAAGCCUGACGGAGCAACGCCGCGUGAGUGAUGAAGGUCUUCGGAUCGUAAAACUCUGUUAUUAGGGAAGAACAAAUGUGUAAGUAACUAUGCACGUCUUGACGGUACCUAAUCAGAAAGCCACGGCUAACUACGUGCCAGCAGCCGCGGUAAUACGUAGGUGGCAAGCGUUAUCCGGAAUUAUUGGGCGUAAAGCGCGCGUAGGCGGUGUUUUAAGUCUGAUGUGAAAGCCCACGGCUCAACCGUGGAGGGUCAUUGGAUACUGGAAAACUUGAGUGCAGAAGAGGAAAGUGGAAUUCCAUGUGUAGCGGUGAAAUGCGCAGAGAUAUGGAGGAACACCAGUGGCGAAGGCGACUUUCUGGUCUGUAACUGACGCUGAUGUGCGAAAGCGUGGGGAUCAAACAGG